rnacentral:lncRNA from 12 species
AGAACACCCAGCCUGUCUUCAACAUCAGAUACUAUGCCUCAUCCCUGAAUUAUAUCUUCCUGAGUUUAUGAUGACCCUUUCAAGGAAAAUUAAGCCACGCCAUUAACAGAAAAUGGGGUGGCUUUGAUGGAGAGAAUCAGAUGUGCCUUCAGUGCAGCCCUGCUCUGGACAGCUGGUGGUUUGCAGAAGGGCAGAGGUGACAGCAGCAGAGGAGGGGACAGGCUCACAGGUCAGCACUCAGCAAGAAGAUCUGGUACAAGGCACCACCGACCAAGUCUUAAUUUUACCUGCCUUAAAACUGUUGUUAACAUCAGAAUGGCUUUUUUUGCCAACAGUUUAAAUGAUGACUGGGCACAGACCUUAAUCCUGCAACCUGGAAUAGGCAAAAUC